GUGAUAUUCUUAUGAAGACCUAACAAAGUUUAGGGGUUAUCUAAUGAUGUAUAUUUUCAGCUUCUUGGUUUAACUCUUAAUUUCCAAACAAACAAACAAACAAACAAACAGAGGUUAAAGUGUUGUGGAAGAAAAUGGGACAACCCAGGGUUUUAAAGCUUGAUAUCCAGGUGGUUCUGAGGACUAUUCAAUCAUGUAUGUGUAAUAAAUAAUGAAUAAUAGUAGCUACAAUGUCCUUAGCCCUUAUUAUGUUCUAAACUCUAUGUUAGUGGCAAGUAAUUUACUUAUUCCUUACAAAACCUCUUCCAGGGCGGCAAGGUGCUUUUAUUGCCUCCAUCUCACAGAGGAGAGACCUGAGUCUUUGAAGGACAAAGGGAGGGGCCUGACAUCACAAUGCCAGUGAAUGGCAGAGCUGGGACUGGAACCCAGCUCCCUCUGUCUGCACAGCCCAAACUAUUGGCCCACCACAGGAGCCUGCCUCCAUAGCAAUGAAAAAUAAUUGGAGUAUUUAAGAAUCAGAGUUUUACUGAUGCUCCCAUUAUGAAGAAAAAAUCAUCACUUACUAUAAGGAAGAGUUCCUGCCUUGAUUAAAGUUGGCAGAUGUGAGGGUUGUUUUGCAGUCAGGUAUAAUGGAAGCAGCACUGCCUUUCUAGGCUAGAAACCAGCCUGUCAUGCCAGCCUCUCCAAUCGCUGUGGGACCCUGGAGAAGUCGGUGAACCUCAACAGACCCUUUUCUCAUCUAAAAAUAAAAAUAAGACAAUUGGAGUAGA